UACGGGGGGGGCAAGCGUUGUUCGGAAUUACUGGGCGUAAAGGGCUCGUAGGUGGCCAACUAAGUCAGACGUGAAAUCCCUCGGCUUAACCGGGGAACUGCGUCUGAUACUGGAUGGCUUGAGUUCGGGAGAGGGAUGCGGAAUUCCAGGUGUAGCGGUGAAAUGCGCAGAUAUCGGGAAGAACACCCGUGGCGAAGGCGGUUCUCUGGAACGGUACUGACGCUGAGACGCGAAAGCGUGGGGAGCGAACAGG
rnacentral:rRNA from 1 species